rfam:Dipodomys ordii contig_63657, whole genome shotgun sequence.
GGGAAUGUGGCUUAGUGGUAGAGUGCUUGCCUAGCACGCAUGAAGCCCUAGGUUUGAUUCCUUAGUACUA